UACGUAGGCAGCAAGCGUUGUUCGGAAUUACUGGGCGUAAAGAGUGUGUAGGCGGUCUGCUAAGUUUGGUGUGAAAUCUCCCGGCUCAACUGGGAGGGUGCGCCGAAAACUGGCAGGCUUGAGUGCCGGAGAGGAUAGCGGAAUCCCCGGUGUAGCGGUGAAAUGCGCAGAUAUCGGGAGGAACACCUGCGGUGUAGACGGCUAUCUGGACGGCCACUGACGCUGAGACACGAAAGCGUGGGUAGCAAACAGG
rnacentral:rRNA from 1 species